CGCAAUCGCUACAGUGAAGCUGUUCACCGGACUUUUUCAGCAAACCGACUGAAUUUCUUAAACUGUGAUCUAAAAAUUGUAAACAUUUGAGCUGCAAAGGGUAGACAUUUCCACUUUAUCACAAGAGAAACAUUUCAAAUGUCACCAGUAGCUUUGGAGAGAGCAUUUUUUUCUCUCACUUGAAAUCAUAAACCUCUCUAGCAUGCACCUUCCGGGAUCGCGUGUGAUGAUCAGUGUCUCACAUGCAUUCGUGGAGCAGCUUCCCACAUUCAGGCUAGUCGCAGGAAACUGCUAACGGCACCCGGCUGUCCUGUGGUGCCCCCCAACGGGUGUCACAGAUAAAUAAACAACACAGUCAGGCGCUAAUCACAGCUCACAGCAUCCCUUCCUGCCUGGAGAAAAUUACAAUAAAGUAGCUCCUCCAACUACUGGCUGAGCAGUCAAACCUUUGCCACUGUCAUCUCUCACUCGUCGGGGCAUCUUCCGAUGGCUUGUCAGAAGGAGCGCUAAAGAAGGAACGUAAACCGAGCUAAGCGGAUGCAGGAAGUUCUGGAGAGAGCAGCCUGGGAAAGACCGCAAAAGAAAACCCUUCUGCACCUGAGCCCCUUAAAACCCAGAUAACCUGGGGGUGUGUGCCACCGGUCAUUGCACCCGGCUGAGAUGGGACCCCGGAUGGCUCCAGGUCCUCUUUGCUGCAAGCCCCCAAAUUGAGUCACCGCCGCUGCAGGGACUUAAGCUAAGGCUCAGGCAGUGGGAGGCCUGAUGCCCCCCACACUAGGAGCUGAGGAGUCAGGCUGCAUAACCUAGAGAGAAGAGUCAGUGCACAGACGCAGAAAUUCCUGAGGGGCGUGGAGAGCGUAGAGGGGGUGAAAGGUGAUGCUGGGGUCCUGGCCCGGGUAGAGAGGGAUGCAGAGUGGCUGAGGGAAGCACUUGGAGGAGGCGCUUAGAUUCUUAGGGUAGGGGGAGCGCUGAGAAAAUCUGCAAGAGCUACUCGCAGCAUCCUCGAGGAGGGGUCGUCGCGGGCGGGGCGCAGGCGGGCCGUGUGCACUGUUGGGACUUAUAGGAGCGUGGAGGUCAGAAAAAGAGUGAUGGGUCCCGCUACCGACUCGUGACGGCGGCUGGGUUCCCAGGGUGUGCAGUGACGCCCCCCCCCAUAUCCCCCGUCCUGGGGAAGCUGUGACCAGCACCCCUGGGAUGUGUACACCGGCAUCGGGGACCACUCUACCUGGAGCAGAGUUGUCAACGUAGAUGUUGGGCAGGGAGGCGCCAACCGAAGUCCAGGUUGCUCCGGAGCAAGAAAGUGUCUGUGUCUGGAAAGCAGGGGAAUUCAGGGCUGUUUGCACCACAGACCCCCAAAGCACAACAGCGUAAAGUGGACGGCCACCAUCCGUCGCUCAGCACAAACUGCUCUCUUCUCUAAUCAAGGUCACCAAGAAGACUGCUGUCUGCUGUACACUCAGAGAUGAGAUUUAACUCCGUGUGAGUGCUGAGUACUGUGAGACAAUGGAGGGAAUCUGUUCUGUGCGUGAAUUUGCAGAGGAGCCCGCAGGUAACUUUGGGAGUUCCUGUAAAAUAUUUUAAAUACGUAUAAUUGCCGCUGCUGCCGCCACCGCCGCCACCACCAUCAUUACCACCAUCAUCACCAUCAUCAUCACUAUCACCGUCAUCACCACCAUCACCAUCAUCAUCACCAUUACCUUAUCACUGUCAUCACCUCUAUCACCAUCAUCACCAUCAGCACCAUCAUCAUCAUGGAAGAAGAUGAGGUGUAGAUCACAGUGCCCCAGCCUCUCCCUGAAACCAGAUAGUGAGGCUGUUGUAUUUCAUCCACAUGUCCCAUACCCUGGGCUUUUGACCCCUGGAUAAUAUGUAGAAGGCUAUGCCAGAGCCCGUGGUAAGUUUCAGAGUGGGUACCAAAGCAGCCUCCUGUCAUGUCAUAGCAUCCUAGACAAAUGACAUUCUUCUUGUGUAAAUGAGUGCUAGUAAUCAAUCCAUCCUGAUCAAGAGAAAAGAGGCCUCACAUCCAGGGACACGGGGCGGAAGAAGCAAGAGGAGGACAUGCUUGCAGACAGCCUGGUGACAGUGUUUGAUCCCGGAUCCACGUUUGCUGUGGAAAAUAUUAUUUGGGGGUUUCUAUCUCAUAUGGACCAUGUGGUUCCCAAAUAAAAGACACAAAAAUCUUUACAUUUACAAUAAGCCUUAAAGCACUAGAGCUGGACAGAUAUCAAUCCUCUAUGCUUUUUGUCUACUUCCCUGACUAUAACCAAGAUAUCAUUUACUGUGUUCUGUCUGGGCAGCUCUUACUCCACCAGGCCGUCUCUCAUGGCUAUGCACUCACUGUCCACCUACCCCAAGGCGACUUCUUUCUUCUUUCUCUCUUCUUCAUGGUCCCUGCCUGAGAUUCCAAGCCCAGGAAGCUUUGCUCUGUCCCUCUCUCUUCUGCCCAUCCCAGGCUGUAGGCAUCUUUAUUAACCAAUCACAGAUAACCUGGGAGCAAGGUUUACACAACAAAAGCUGGUAUGCGUGAGGAUCCCCUUGUCUUGGAGCAACCAGAUCUUGGGGUACAGAGUUUAGCAUUUGGUGCAAGCAGCCCCAGACCAACCUGACACACAUCCACAAAUGGAAGCAAAGAUCUUACUCCUGCAAGUUGUCCUCUAACGUCCACACCCCUAAGGGUAAGCGUCUAUCUCAUAGAUGACAAAGGUGGCUCUGCAUGUGUGAGCCUCAUGUAAGGGCCACACCAGGGUCGGGAUUUGUGUGUAGCAUCCAGUAACCACUGAGUCUAAUGCCUUAUUCUGCAACGCAAUCAUUUAGGGUGAAAAGAAUGCAGAGCUCAGGGAGUUCAGAAUGCUAAACCACAGAAUGUCUGCAGGAAUUGCAGGCAGGGGGUUGGUGCAUUCCUGAGGGUAAGUCUUCCUGACUCAGCAUCCAGCUCCCUCUGCCCAACCCUGCCUGCCCCCUCUUCACAUUGCAGUCUGUGUGAGAGGAUAGCGAGACCCCAAAGCACCUACUUAUCACUUUGUUUAGGAUAAGAACUGUACACUCUCUAGACAGGAGACUAGCUCAGCGGAGACAGAAAAUGGAAAGAUAGCUGCAGAUUGAAUAUCUCUUCUCCCAGACAGUGGGACCAGAAUAGUUUUAGGGGCUUUCUAGGAGGUAGGAUUGGAAUAUUUGCAUAUACAUAGAGACAUCUUGAGGAUGAGACCCAAGUCUAGAUGUGAGACACAUUGCACACAGUCUGCAGGUAACCUGAUAGAAUGUUUUAAGUUACUUUGUCCAUGAAAGCAAGUUUGCCUACUGUGUUGCUCAGCUUUGCAUCAGUGUAACAAGAUGCUUGAGGUAACUUACGGUGAGGAAAGGUUUAUUUAGGACCAGACUUUCAGACCUUGCUCUGGCAAGGAGGACGUGACAAGAAGCUGCUCAAUUUGUGGUAGCUGGGAGGCAAAAGGGGGAGUGGUCGGGGUUCCAAUAUUCUUCUCAAAGGUGUGUCCGCAAGUGGCCCAACUUCCCUCUUACGAGCUUCACCACCUAAACGUGCCACCAUCUCCCCAUCAAGUGAAGAAUGAGGCCUUUAACCUGUGGGUCCCAGGGGACACUCAAGAUACAAACUUUGACAGGCACAAUGUUCACAAAGCACCAGACUUACUGCUAUACAUGGACACUAAAAAGUUUUUGAUUUUGGAUCAUUAUGAGUUUCAGACACCUGCAUUAGAGAUCUUCAGCCUACAUCAGCUCAGUGAUGGAAAGCUUAAGUCAGUCUCUCUGAGGCCAUGUUGAUGUGUACAUUUUUUUUAUUAUUUUUUUAUUUACAUGAGUAUAUUGUCGCUGUCUUCAGACACACCAGAAGAGGGCAUUAGAUCUCAUUACAGAUGGUUGUGAGCCACCAUGUGGUUGCUGGGAAUUGAACUCAGGACCUCUGGAAGAGCAGUCAGUGCUCUUAACCACUGAGCCAUCUCUCCAACGCUGAUGUGUAAAUUUUUAAAAAAUAAUAACCAACAUAAUUUAGUAUAAUAUGGAAACAUUUCAGCAAGAACAUUUUAAGCCAGUUUUGACAAGUGAAAGGGCGUAAAUAAAGGGAUAUGACGUCAUUGUCUGCAAGCUAGUUAUUGAGCAAACAACAAGUGCCUAUAUUGUCUGAGGAGAGUGUCAAGCUGGAGAACAGAACCAAACUAAGACUUUUGAUGAAUGUUGAAUUCUUAAAGCAAAAAAGACUUUUCUUUCCAUAACAGGUGGAUUUUACUUUUAAUUAUGACAUAAACAGAAAAAUACUUGGAAUGAUAUUCCUCCUGGUGUAUAUUUUGGAUCCCAAUAACUGGUUGUGUCCUGGAAGUUUGUUGGCAAGCUUAAAUAUCUUCUUAGAAACCAGUUGCAAUCUGGUAUGUUCUGGGGAUGCUUUGAAGCAGUUUGACCUUAACAUGGUAGGGACAUUCAUUGUCUGAUGUUCCACAGAACACAGACAUUAUUCAUGGUCCCAUUUAUGUUCCUAAUGCCAGGAAUAUAUCAAAACACAUCGCACUUGGAUUCGGCCCAGGGAAUAAGAACUCUUUCCUGAGAAACCCAGCUGAUCUGAGGCCAAAGAAAGAAAACUUGUGAAGUCCUGGGGAGAGGAUUCAGACACACAGGUCUCUUGUAUGGCCACUUAGAGAACUUGUCCCUUGCCUUCCCCAUAGAGAAAUUGAAUCUGUAUUACUGGAAACCACCAGUGGCAAUGUGCCUGCACAGCACAGCCUGGAUGUGAUUUUUAAACAUAAUCAUUUUAUUGAAAGAGGCCUCAUAGGUGUCACCAUGGGAAUGCAGAACAAAUACUACAUUCUAUUGGUUGAAACCAAGGUCAAAAUUGACAAAGCCUUCAGUCAUACUUCUGGGCGUAAAGGGGAGCUGAAGAGAAUGGUAUCCCCAAGAGAGUGAUCUGUUGCCCAGCAUGGGGGCAGGAGACAGUGAGGACUCAGCACCCUGAAGGUCUGGUGCACAGGGGUGUGUAUAAUGAUCACCACCACUUCACUCUCAACUCUUUGCUAUUCUUGGGCUUUCCUGGAGGUGAGAUCAUCGUGUCUGUGCAUUGAACUUAUUCUCCCGGAGUGCAUGGUUGGAACCUCACUCCUUCCAUUGUAUGGUACAGCUAGAUGGGUGGAUCUUUAGCUGGUAUAGAGGCCAUGAGGAUAGACCCCUCUGGAAUGAGUGCUCUGAUUGAAGGGACCAGAGGAAGCCUUUGACCUUUUGCUCUUCCUCAAGAAGCAAUGAGAAGCCACCUUUCUAACCCAGGACCCGAACACGUUGGCAUCUUGUUCUCAGCUACCGGGACCAUGAGAAAGGAUAUUUGGUUGUUUAUAGAUCACGCAGCCUCAGGCAUCUAAAACUUCGUGAAAACCCAUUAUUCCUACGAGAGGAAGGCUCCAGAAAAGAGCACAGAGAAGGGCUGUUAGGUAGCUUAGACGAACACCUAGGAGGCCCCACUCACCCCUGCAAUGAAAUGUGGGUCAUCAGUCUUCCAGCAAGGAUCCACAGUGUGAAACUGUUUACACACAGACGUCAGGAAACCAUUCAAAAGCAACAGAGAAAACCAAUUCCGAGAAGUAAAGCUGACAAAACUACUAGCAUUUGAGAGGGUAUGUGGCCAAGGAGCCAAGGACCUACAACAGGUUUCAAAGAUGGCAGCCGAUGCCCUUCACAGGGAAAGGGCACAUCCUGCUCUGUGUGGAGUCUGAAUGGCUAUUUAUGACACAGAACUGAGAGUGAGAUUCAAGCUCUGGCAGCAGCAUGUCUAGGAGACAGCAAAUGAGGAGCCACGCUGAGAAUCCGUCUGUCUCUAGGGCACUCUGGCUGCCACGGGGAAACACUCGUCAAAGAAGGGGAAUGGCCAAGAGAGAAGUAAAAGUCAGCAAAUGCAAUGAGUCUGGUCAUGAAGAAAAUUCCAGCCAGACCACAAUAUAUUCUCCCUGGCACUGAGCUAGCUGAUGGCAGAGAGCCAACCACCCUUGAGGAAAAGGAAUCGUAGGAAAGAUGAAGGACGUUCCCUGACAGAGGUGAACCUUUUGCUUUGUUACUUCAGUUGUCUCUGAGUUAAACCUGCUCUUUCCCAUGGGCAACAAUGUUUCACAGCAGUGGCGGAUGACCCUGGCUGGCCCUUAGAGCAAUUAGGAGACUUUAAAGAACAGGACUUCAUCAAUACCAAACAACAGAAUGUCUGGCGGAAUGGCAGGCAGGUGUUUUUGAUGGACCUCUGAGGGUGGUUCCAGCAUUCUUCCUUACUCAGCUUCCAGCUCGCUCUGCCACUCACUGCCUACCCCAUCUCUAUGCUAUGAUCUGUAUUAGUGCGAGAGCCUUCUUGCCCCUGAGCUGUGGCCUCCUGCCUAAAUCACACCUUGCUUGUCCAACUCUUUUCUCAAAACUGUGCAUUUUAGAGCACUGUGGACUCUUUAGCAGAACUGACCAGAAGCACAGAGCUAUCCUAUACCUCGCCUUCUUUAAACAGCUUUUCUCAUUGUCCACAUCUUCAACAGACUCUUGAACUUUAUAAGCGCAGAGAAAAUUAGUUGAGCCCAAGUGAGCAUAUACGUAUUUAUUUCUCUGCCCUUGAAUGUAGCUAUACUGUGAUUGGCUGCUUCAACUUCCUAUUUCUUUGACUGCUCCACAAUAAUGGACAAUAAAUUGAAACUGUGAGCUAAAAAACA